rnacentral:rRNA from 1 species
GACGAACGCUGGCGGCGUGCUUAACACAUGCAAGUCGAACGAAGUGGCGAACGGGUGAGUAACGCGUAAUCAACCUGCUCAUCAGAGGGUGACAACAGUUGGAAACGACUGCUAAUACCGUAUACUGAAGGAGGGGAUUGCGUCGGAUUAGCUAGUUGGUGGGGUAAAGGCCUACCAAGGCGACGAUCCGUAACUGAUCUGAGAGGAUGAUCAGUCACACUGGAACUGAGACACGGUCCAGACUCCUACGGGAGGCAGCAGUGGGGAAUAUUGGACAAUGGACGAAAGCCUGAUCCAGCCAUGCCGCGUGUGUGAAGAAGGUCUUCGGAUUGUAAAGCACUUUCGGCGGAGAGCGUUACCCACAGAAGAAGCACCGGCUAACUCCGUGCCAGCAGCCGCGGUAAUUC